UAUUGUAGUCCUCUUCCACCCUAGCUUUUAUUCUGUCACGAAGCCUGCCUUGAUGAGAUGGGAUCUCUGACAUCCCAGAUGACAAUCUGCCCCAAUUCCUACCUCUGCCUAUUUCCAUUUCUACAUGUAAAUCACUGCCAUUGGUAGAUCUUUCUGGAAGCUUUAUCCUACCAUGAAGAAGGCUACUCAUAGAGCUUUCACGCGAGGGAAAAUUAUGCGAGUCCCUUUGUGAAGAACUCCAAUGACCUCUCUCCUCAACGUGGUUUUCUGGGAAAAAAUCAUGACUGACAACUGAUCUCAAGCCAUGAACUCUCCUCUGUUUUGACAAGCGAUAGCGCAGAUCUGACUCAUCAAUGAGCUUGGGGCUAUCUGCUUUUGAGUAAGCUCUCACUGGCCCAUCUAGCACUCUCUCUGAUGAAUCCCUACGUUGUUCCCAAGCAUGUUGCCCUUGCAUGAGUUCAUAUGUAUCAUAGUCUCGUAGAUCACGAUAUGUUUCUCGGUCAAUGUCAGCAACUGAACUGUAAUCAGCAGAAUGAACCAUAUCAUAUUCAUCCACAGGGUUCAAGCUCCUUCCUUCACGACCUCUUGUCCUUCCGUACUGAUCUUCACCAUGGUAAUAAUCAGAAUUUCUCAACUCAUCAUCUACAAGAACAUCAAAACCAGGAGAGGACUCCCUCAAAAACUCAUCAGCAUCCUUACCGCAUCCUUACCAUUCUGGAAAACAUGAUCAUCUUGUAUUUGUGACUGAUGCAAAUGAUUGAAACGACUCGAGUUUCCAUUGACAACAGGAGGAAGAUUUGUU
rnacentral:misc_RNA from 1 species